GACGAACGCUGGCGGCGUGCUUAACACAUGCAAGUCGAACGCUGAAGCUUGGUGCUUGCACUGGGUGGAUGAGUGGCGAACGGGUGAGUAAUACGUGAGUAACCUGCCCUUGACUCUGGGAUAAGCCUGGGAAACUGGGUCUAAUACUGGAUACGACAUGCCACUGCAUGGUGGUGUGUGGAAAGGGUUUUACUGGUUUUGGAUGGGCUCACGGCCUAUCAGCUUGUUGGUGGGGUAAUGGCCUACCAAGGCGACGACGGGUAGCCGGCCUGAGAGGGUGACCGGCCACACUGGGACUGAGACACGGCCCAGACUCCUACGGGAGGCAGCAGUGGGGAAUAUUGCACAAUGGGCGGAAGCCUGAUGCAGCGACGCCGCGUGAGGGAUGACGGCCUUCGGGUUGUAAACCUCUUUCAGCACGGAAGAAGCGAGAGUGACGGCACGUGCAGAAGAAGCGCCGGCUAACUACGUG
rnacentral:rRNA from 1 species